ACUCGGCCGCUCAGAUGGGCGGCUUCCAUCACCACGGCAGUCCGUCUGGACCGCCUCCGGGUUCCAUGGCCAUCCACCACUCGAUGGGCGGCAUCUCCUCCUCCGCCCUCGGCUUGGGCUCUACCUUUAAUUCAAUGGCUUCCUGGCGGACGGAUUUCAGCACUUAAGAAAAAAACAAUGAGGCAACUAGGUGAAUCGAGGAAUCCAGUUGGGACAACACGUCACCACACAAAAAAACUCCACCGUUCUCUCUCUCUCUCUCCCUCUCUUUUUUGUUUUGAAAUCGAACAUAAUUCGCACAUACGAUUAAUAAUGUUUACUUUGUUCCACUAUACACCUAUACACCCCCGGAUUCAUCACGACACACACUCGUCCUUUUCUAUAUAUAUACAAAAAAAUAAUAAUAAUAAUUUUUAGAGUAAUAAUAACAAGCAUUAUCGAUUUGCGAUGUCCUCUUUUUCCUCAACCUCCCCCCCCCCCCCCCUUCCUCCAACGCGCUAUAUAGACAUGUGUAUAAUAUAAUUUUCAAUUCAUAGUCGGGAAAUCAGAAUCAUUCAUAACAAAAACGAGAAGAUGAAAUGAAACGAAGCCAUAUGUUAUUUAGUGUUUGGCUGUUUAAAAAAAAAAAAAAAAAAAAAACAAGAAAAGGAAAGAAAAAAAAAACGUGUACAUGUAAAAGCACAUAGAGAUGACAACAACAACAAAAAUGAACGCGAAAGAAAAAAGAAAAUCAAAUUCAAAACAUCAGCCGUUUAAAUAUAUUCGAAAAACAAAAAAAUAGAAAAGACAUUUUUCUUUUGUUUCAAAGAAAAAAAUUCAUUUUCGGUCUGUAAUUUUUUUUUUUUUUUUUUUUUUUUUUUUUUUUUUUAACUGUUCAUUUGUAUCUCUUCCAAAAGAUUGAUUUGUUUAUUUACUUUGUUUUUAUUUUAUUUUUUGCUUCAUUCUUUUUUUUUUUUUUUUUUUUUUGCUUUUCCACAUACAUCCUCGGUUACCCCCCCCCCCUUCACACAUAUACUAUGAUAUAUUCCAUUUGUAUACGUUAUACCAAGGAACUAGCAGCAUCGUCCCGAGAACUGCCGCGUACGCCCCCUCUCUCUUUCCCUUAUACCCAUCACUACUAUAUUAUUAUAAUUAUUAUUAAAUGAAUAAAGCCACGUGUGUAUGGAUGUAUCUCUGUGUGUACGAGUGUGCAUAUGUGUGUGUAAUAUAAACGUCAAGAGCUUA